rnacentral:tRNA from 1 species
UCCCUGGUGGCUCAGCUGGUAAAGAAUCUGCCUGCAAGGCGGGAGACCUGGGUUCAACUCCCGGGUUGGGAA